rnacentral:rRNA from 1 species
CAGUCGCCGCGGGAAUACGAAGGGGGCAAGCGUUGCUCGGAAUGACUGGGCGUAAAGGGCGCGUAGGUGGUGUGGACAGUCAGAUGUGAAAUUCCUGGGCUCAACCUGGGGGCUGCAUUUGAUACGUCCAAACUAGAGUGUGGAAGAGGGUCGUGGAAUUCCCAGUGUAGAGGUGAAAUUCGUAGAUAUUGGGAAGAACACCGGUGGCGAAGGCGGCGACCUGGUCCAUUACUGACGCUGAGGCGCGAAAGCGUGGGGAGCAAACAGGAUUAGAUACCCGAGUAGUCCCUGUCUCUUAUAC